rnacentral:rRNA from 1 species
UGAGGUGCUUGCACCUUAUCUUAGCGGCGGACGGGUGAGUAAUGCUUAGGAAUCUGCCUAUUAGUGGGGGACAACAUUCCGAAAGGAAUGCUAAUACCGCAUACGCCCUACGGGGGAAAGCAGGGGAUCUUCGGACCUUGCGCUAAUAGAUGAGCCUAAGUCGGAUUAGCUAGUUGGUGGGGUAAAGGCCUACCAAGGCGACGAUCUGUAGCGGGUCUGAGAGGAUGAUCCGCCACACUGGGACUGAGACACGGCCCAGACUCCUACGGGAGGCAGCAGUGGGGAAUAUUGGACAAUGGGCGGAAGCCUGAUCCAGCCAUGCCGCGUGUGUGAAGAAGGCCUUUUGGUUGUAAAGCACUUUAAGCGAGGAGGAGGCUACUUAGAUUAAUACUCUAGGAUAGUGGACGUUACUCGCAGAAUAAGCACCGGCUAACUCUGUGCCAGCAGCCGCGGUAAUACAGAGGGUGCGAGCGUUAAUCGGAUUUACUGGGCGUAAAGCGUGCGUAGGCGGCUGAUUAAGUCGGAUGUGAAAUCCCUGAGCUUAACUUAGGAAUUGCAUUCGAUACUGGUCAGCUAGAGUAUGGGAGAGGAUGGUAGAAUUCCAGGUGUAGCGGUGAAAUGCGUAGAGAUCUGGAGGAAUACCGAUGGCGAAGGCAGCCAUCUGGCCUAAUACUGACGCUGAGGUACGAAAGCAUGGGGAGCAAACAGGAUUAGAUACCCUGGUAGUCCAUGCCGUAAACGAUGUCUACUAGCCGUUGGGGCCUUUGAGGCUUUAGUGGCGCAGCUAACGCGAUAAGUAGACCGCCUGGGGAGUACGGUCGCAAGACUAAAACUCAAAUGAAUUGACGGGGGCCCGCACAAGCGGUGGAGCAUGUGGUUUAAUUCGAUGCAACGCGAAGAACCUUACCUGGCCUUGACAUAGU